UACGUAGGGCGCAAGCGUUGUCCGGAAUUAUUGGGCGUAAAGAGCUCGUAGGCGGCUUGUCACGUCGGGUGUGAAAGCCCGGGGCUUAACCCCGGGUCUGCAUUCGAUACGGGCAGGCUGGAGUGUGGUAGGGGAGAUCGGAAUUCCUGGUGUAGCGGUGAAAUGCGCAGAUAUCGGGAGGAACACCAGUGGCGAAGGCGACUACCUGGCCCACUCUUGACGCUGAGGCGCGAAAGCUAGGGGAGCGAACGGG
rnacentral:rRNA from 1 species